GAAAAAACACACCUCCUACACGGCCGCCGCCCCUCCUCCACGGCCGGCGCGCCACCACACCCGUGGCUGGAGCGCAUCCUCCCGCAUGGCCGUCUCCCCUCCUCCCCCGCGGCCACCUACCCUCCUCCCCAACGGCUGGCGAGCCGCCUUCCGCGCGACUCGGGCUCCUUCCCCGCGGCCAGCGCGCCACCUCCCACGCGGCCACCUACCCUCCUCCCCAACAGCCCGCGCGCCGCCUUCCGCGCGAUGGGGCACCUCCUCCGCCAUGGCCGGCGAGCCUCCUCCCGCCGCCAUCCUCGGAUCCAGCCACAGCAGGGCCGCGGAACCCCGUGUGCUGUUCGCCGGGCCCUGAAUCCCCGUGCGCCGCCGCAGGGCCCUGGAUCCCGAGCGCCGCCGCCGCCGGGGUCCUGGCUCGCCUGCUCCAUCACCGCUGGGAUAUCGCCUCCCUCAUGCGCCGCUGGGACCCCCACACGCCGUCGCUGACCGCACCACCCCAUCGCCCGCGCUUCCCCUCUUCCCCGAGCUCCCCUGAGCGGCCCUGCUCCUGAGCCACACCUUGCCGGACUGCGGGGCUCAUGCCACAGCACCUCCCCUCCCCCAAGUUCGUGUGCCACUACGCGAGCUCCAUCCCCACCGCCGGCCAACUGCCGUCGCUAUCGCGCGUGGACAGCAGCGACGGCCGAAUCCGACCUUCCCAGGCAUCACCUUUCUUCCUUCUCUCAUGUUGAUGUUCUUUGGCCAAUUUACUGAGCAGCGCCGGCCUUUGCACUAUGGUACUUGUUCUAUUUUGCUUCAGAGUUAUGUUCGCAUCUGAAUUUUCUUGCUAGGUUCCAAAAGCAAGUGGUAUGCACUGCCUUUAGUCAGGUCACGGCCUCCGAUGCUGCUAACCUCCCCACGUUCCUUGUCGCCUGCUUGUGUGUGCCUGUCAAUGAAGGAAAAACACACAUGGGCAAGGUUAUAUCUACAGGCAAAAGUUCAGAAUUUCAGAAAGAAGAUGGAGUGAGGUUCAACUUCUUUUAGCAUUUUUAAUUCUCAGUACAAAAAGACUGCUCAGAAAGAAGAAGUAAUCGCAGGCUGCUCGUCUUGUUUGAUGUUCAAAUGUUCAGUUGUUUUGUGCCUUUUUUGCUCUCCAGAAUCCUACACUCCUGUCGCUCGGCAGGUCACGGCCUCCUCUAGGUGCAGGUCGUGGUGUCCAUGUCGUCACUGCUCCAGCGCAUCAUGCUUCCAUACAUGGUGGUGUUUUGGACUGGAGCAAGACGGAACGAGGCAGUGUGUGUACGUACUUUCUAAGAGUUGUCGACCACCGCAUGCGCCUCAAUACAAACUUCCUGUAGCAUGUGUACGAGUUUACCCACAGUGAUUUUUGUCAACAUGAUCUUGGGGAUGCAGACCUAAACAAAUAAACUUGCUCGUUGGUCGAAACUAAUACUAAUCACAUUAGAUUGUAGUUGUUGCGUGUGGCAUUGUUGCUUCUUUGGAUUUGUUGUGGCAAGGAAGAAAAAGAAGAUGGGGAGAGGACAUGUGGUGGUUAGUGGAUAGGAAAUGUGUGAAGAAGAAAAACCAUACCGCUUCAAUUGGACAUUUAUUUUUAUCCAUUUGGGUGAAAAAAUGUUGUCCACUAUAUGUCUGUAAUUAUGGUUAUAACAAAUGAAUUUAUUUAUUUUACUUU
rnacentral:rRNA from 1 species